UGCAAAUGACCUGCUUUCUUUCGGAUCCC
rnacentral:piRNA from 1 species